AACGUAGGAGACAAACGUUAUCCGGAGUUACUGGGCGUAAAGUGCGUGUAGGUGGUAGUGUAAGUCUGGCGUGAAAUUUUUCGGCUUAACCGGGAAAGGUCGUCGGAUACUGCACAACUAGAGGACGGUAGAGGCGUGUGGAAUUCCGGGUGUAGUGGUGAAAUGCGUAGAGAUCCGGAGGAACACCAGUGGCGAAGGCGACACGCUGGGCCGUACCUGACACUGAUGCGCGACAGCAUGGGGAGCAAACAGG
rnacentral:rRNA from 1 species